ACGAAGCGCAAGAUCGUGACCUGAGACAAAAAUCAAGAGUUGGACACUCAACUGACUGAGCCACCCAGGUGCCCCUCUGAGUGGGGACUCAAUGGAAGCUCCUUGUGGGACACCCAGGACUAGGAAUAUUGAUCUGCAAUUUCAUCUAAGAGUGAGAAGUGACUUCAGUGCCAUGUGCCUGCAGAGAGAGAUACUGAAGACAAGCAAACCAAUUCACCCAAGGAAGUUCUAAGAACUGAAGAUCCCAGGUACUGAGGCUGGGAUAAGGCAGGGGACUGAGUGGGGGUUGUUUUAAAAUGUGGGGUACAGAAAAGAGGGGACUCUCAGAUUAUUUUCCAGCAAACUGACGCAGAGAUGACUCCUUCUGCACCCCACCCUUGGCCUGAGAGAGAGAAGGGAGGAGAGGGUAUGUGUAGUCUCUGGAGAAGCUAAAUCAGAGCCGGGACAGGAGAACAAGCAGCACAGAGGACUGCAGGGGUGAAGAUGGAGACUGAAUGCUGACUGGCUGGUGAGUUCCUCUCUCCAACCCCAUUCUGUUCCAGAACACAGGUACAUUCAUGAAUCCCCACCCUGUUUUUCCAGCAGAGAUCAGAGGAUCCCUCUAUGAAGAAAAAGAACCCACCGAAAAGAUCCCCUGGCGAGGUCAGCUGGCCUGCAUGUUGAUAGGCUGUCUCCCCACAGAGAUUCCAAUGAGCUUGUUUCUUAACUUUUUAAAUAUACAGAGUAAGAAUUUCCUGACGUUUGAAGGAAGUCAUGACAGAGACUAAAAGAGGAAAAAGGCGCUCAGAGGAAAUAAAAGCAUUCUCUGGCAAACAGAAAAAAAACUCAUCAUUCAUGUCUUUAGAGAGAUGAGAAGAUGCAUCUGCAAAUGUACAUAGUUCCAGAGAAUGGCAGGGGGAAAAAGCUUUCAGAGAUUAAAACCAGAAGCUGAAGUUUCAUCAAAGAGGUUGAAAAAUAUUUCUGAAAGUAGGUGGAAAAACUAGAGAUGGAAAUUAGAGGGGAAAAUAUUGAGAUCAGAUUAUGAGCCUGGGAGCUCCAAAGAAAGAGAGAGAAAAAGUUUCCCAGGACUGACAAAGAUGAGCUUCUAGCCAGAAUGGGCCAGCAGCAAGUGCACAAAUUAUCGGCCACCUCUGUGAAGUCUGGCAAUACCAGAGGUAAAGAACUAAAAUAUUCCACUGGGAGAAAAUAGCAGGUCAUGGGGUAAGGCCUAGGAAACAGAACAGCCGCUGACUUUAAAUCUAGAAAUGGAGCCCUAUAAAUUCUCGUGAAAAUUAUUUCUAGUCCAGAAUAUUAUGCCGAGGAAAAAUACCAGGUGGAAGGGUUUUUGGUUUUCUUUAACUAUCCAGGCAAACUUUCAAGAAUAGAAUAAAUUCAUUUUGAAACAUGUGUUCCAUCAAAACAGCUGAAUACAUGGGAUCUAAACGUAAGAGUUCUAUCAUGGAGCAGACGUGGACUCAAAACGAAGCAGAAAGGGUCAGGAACUAAUGGAGAGAUCAUCUAGAUAACGA